rnacentral:rRNA from 1 species
UACGUAGGGGGCUAGCGUUGUCCGGAAUCAUUGGGCGUAAAGAGCGUGUAGGCGGCCAGGUAGGUCUGCUGUGAAACUCGAGGCUCAACCUCGAGACGUCGGCGGAAACCAUCUGGCUAGAGUCCGGAAGAGGAGAGUGGAAUUCCUGGUGUAGCGGUGAAAUGCGCAGAUAUCAGGAAGAACACCCGUGGCGAAGGCGGCUCUCUGGGACGGUACUGACGCUGAGACGCGAAAGCGUGGGGAGCGAACAGG